GGGAGUGCCACUUGUCCAUGUUGGUCAGGACACACACUUGGACUAUCGAGUUAUUGAUGUCCGAACACUGGCAAAUCAAGUCAUUUUCCGUAUACAACAUCAAGUUGAAAACAUUGGUGAAAGCAACACCAUCGGCGUUCGUCGCCUUCAUCCUGGACCUCCCCAUGUUGUCUCUGUACUGCCCAACGGUACAUCAUAUGCUUCUCCUCCAUUGUCGAUUGUUCACUAGGCUGGCCCAUGGAAGCACCACCGCUCAGUGGCCUUAGCGCUGGACCACGAGGUUGGAUAGGGCAAGCAUGUGUAUUCUUUAAUUAUUGGAGGCUUUCAUAUUCAUAUAUCAAUACAAGGCGGGAUAUGAUGCAG